rnacentral:rRNA from 1 species
UUUACCCGAAGCUGGUGCGCUAACCCGUAAGGGAGGCAGCCAACCACGGUAAGGUCAGCGACUGGGGUGAAGUCGUAACAAGGUAGCCGUAGGUGAACCCUGCAGAAGGAUCA